rnacentral:rRNA from 1 species
AGACAAUAGAUACCCCGGUAGUCCACGCCGUAAACGAUGAAUACUAGGUGUAGGGGUUGUCAUGACCUCUGUGCCGCCGCUAAACGCAUUAAGUAUUCCGCCUGGGGAGUACGGUCGCAAGAUUAAAACUCAAAGGAAUUGACGGGGGCCCGCACAAGCAGCGGAGCAUGUGGUUUAAUUCGAAGCAACGCGAAGAACCUUACCUAGACUUGACAUCUCCUGAAUUACUCUGUAAUGGAGGAAGCCACUUCGGUGGCAGGAAGACAGGUGGUGCAUGGUUGUCGUCAGCUCGUGUCGUGAGAUGUUGGGUUAAGUCCCGCAACGAGCGCAACCCUUAUUGUUAGUUGCUACCAUUUAGUUGAGCACUCUAGCGAGACUGCCCGGGUUAACCGGAGGAAGGUGGGGAUGACGUCAAAUCAUCAUGCCCCUUAUGUCUAGGGCUACACACGUGCUACAAUGGUCGGUACAAUGAGAUGCAACCUCGCGAGAGUGAGCAAAACUAUAAAACCGAUCUCAGUUCGGAUUGUAGGCU